rnacentral:lncRNA from 10 species
AUUUAUAUAUGAGUGAUUAUGUAUCCCUGUUGUUUUUCAGUGUCUUCUCAGAAACCACCAGCCUUGAAGGCUACAAGUGACGAGAAAGAUUCUGUUUCGAAUAUAGCCACACAAAUAAAGGAUGGAGAAAAAUCUGGGACAGUGCUGUAUAAAAGAACAAGACUUCAGAAUCAAGAAUAUCUUGUCUCUUGGCAUUGAAUUUAUACAAGGUGCUCUUUCUUUAAUGCUGUCUCAAAGGACAUAUUUUUAUUCAUUAAAAAGGAAGAUCGGAAUCUAGUUGUAUGCACUGCUCCAACAUAUUAAUACAUAAAAUUAGGAGGUAAAUGUGGUCAAAGCUAUAGAAAGACUUGAGAUGUCAUUUAUAUUGAUUACUGUAUAGCACUCUACAAACAGAAAUUGUUAAAUAAUAGUUUAUAUAAAUAUUUUGUAGCAUUUCAAAUAUUUGAGUGCCUGAAGUUUCUCCUCUUACAUAGUUCAGAUUAUCAAUUUGGAGACUUACUCCGCUAGUUAAAAUGUUUUUAGUCUCGUUUGAGUAUUAUAUAAAAGCAAUUUUCAGUUAAAUGUGUUCCGCUUACAUAAAACAUUACAAAUUAGUGAGUAUUUAAUUACAUUUUCAUGUUCCUGUAAUGUCUUUAGAAGAUUUUCAUAUUACCUAUCAAUAUAUGUAUGCUUUGUCCAAGAAAAAUCAAACAUAUAUAUAAUUGAAAUGGAAACUUUUUAAAAGUACUUAUUAAUUCCAUUGAAAAACCACAUCCAUAGGAACAAUUACAAUAUAAUAUUGUGAACAUGUAAAUAUAUAUCCUAUUUUAUAUAUAAGCAUAUAUGAUUACAAAUAUAGUUAAGAAUUUUUAAACCUAGUAUUAUAAAGUAAAAAUUAGUUAAACUUCUGAUGAUUAUUUAUUAAUGAAGAUAAAAUUAUUUUGAUUUGGG